rnacentral:tRNA from 1 species
ACCUGGGUGGCUCAGUCGGUUGAGCGUCCGACUUCAGCUCAGGUCAUGAUCUCGCGGUCUGUGGGUUCAAGCCCCGCAUCGGGCU